rnacentral:lncRNA from 1 species
UUUUUUUUCUGAUUGCAGAGGUCAUAUGUAUUCUGUGUGGAGAAUUUGGAAGAUGAAGAAAAGUACAAAUCCUAUCAACUGUAACAUCUCCUGCAUUUCAUAAAACAAUGAUAUCACUCCCAAAUGUGUAAAUGAGAGGCUUAUUUUAAGAACACAAUUUUUCUUUUCCAUUAAAUUUGCAUCUAGUAGAGUAAGCUUAGGGAGAAAUUAGCCCUUCUGAUUGUUAUUUAGCAUUAUUUUACUUUGUGUUUACUUACACACAUUUUUUUUUUUUUUAAUGGCCACACCAGCAGCAUAUGGAAAUUCCUGGGCCAGGGGUUGAAUCUGAGCCGCAGCUGUGGAAAUGCCAGAUCCUUUUAAAACCACUGUGCCAGGCCAGGGAUUAAGCCUGAAGUGUCUCAGCAGCUAUCUGAGCCAAUGCCGUCACAUUCUUAACCCACUGGGCCACAGCGGGAACUCCUUCCUUACAUUAUUAUUACUAAAAGUAAACUCUCUUCCCGGAGCACUUAGCAUGUGUGGGGCAGAAUGCUAAGCACAGCACAUGAAUUAUCUCACUUUGUCCUCCCAAGAAACCCAGAAGAUUGGCAUGAAUUCCGUUAACUUAAUACAGGUGGGUUAGUGGAAGAAUCAGAGUGAUUAUAUAAGGCAGCCAAGGUCCCUCAGCUGGUAAUGUGGGAAACCAGGAUUCAUACCCAAUCCUCUGCAAUCAUUCCACUCCCUCAUCGGGGAAAGGAACGGAGGGAAGGAGGGAAUUUAUGGAACCUCGCCUUGUCAGUCCUGGUGCUGGUUGCGUGCCUUGCUGAUCGUGUUCAAUCUUCACAGCCUCACAAGAUUCUUGUCUCUGGAUGUCCCUCACACUAUCACAGUGGUGAAACUCUCUCACAGACUUGUCUCAUCUUUCAGCAGUAGGUAUUCAGAUCUAGUUUCACUAGUGAAAUGGAAAUGGGGCCAUGGAACUCCUCACAGUGUCUUGCUGGAAGUAGAAUCUGAUUGUAAUUAAUUGGAAAUCACACACAUUCUCAUACACACUCGUGAGUAUACAUAGACACAUGCUUUACUAAUACAUUAUGCAUGUUAUAAAUGACUUACUCUAUGCAUUUUUGAAUGAUGAAAUUAUUCUAAAUAAACUUUUUGAAAGAUACUUCGUAUUUAUGUGC